rnacentral:rRNA from 1 species
ACAUGCAAGUCGAGCGGAUGAAGGGAGCUUGCUCCUGGAUUCAGCGGCGGACGGGUGAGGAAUGCCUAGGAAUCUGCCUGGUAGUGGGGGAUAACGUCCGGAAACGGGCGCUAAUACCGCAUACGUCCUGAGGGAGAAAGUGGGGGAUCUUCGGACCUCACGCUAUCAGAUGAGCCUAGGUCGGAUUAGCUAGUUGGUGGGGUAAAGGCCUACCAAGGCGACGAUCCGUAACUGGUCUGAGAGGAUGAUCAGUCACACUGGAACUGAGACACGGUCCAGACUCCUACGGGAGGCAGCAGUGGGGAAUAUUGGACAAUGGGCGAAAGCCUGAUCCAGCCAUGCCGCGUGUGUGAAGAAGGUCUUCGGAUUGUAAAGCACUUUAAGUUGGGAGGAAGGGCAGUAAGUUAAUACCUUGCUGUUUUGACGUUACCAACAGAAUAAGCACCGGCUAACUUCGUGCCAGCAGCCGCGGUAAUACGAAGGGUGCAAGCGUUAAUCGGAAUUACUGGGCGUAAAGCGCGCGUAGGUGGUUCAGCAAGUUGGAUGUGAAAUCCCCGGGCUCAACCUGGGAACUGCAUCCAAAACUACUGAGCUAGAGUACGGUAGAGGGUGGUGGAAUUUCCUGUGUAGCGGUGAAAUGCGUAGAUAUAGGAAGGAACACCAGUGGCGAAGGCGACCACCUGGACUGAUACUGACACUGAGGUGCGAAAGCGUGGGGAGCAAACAGGAUUAGAUANCCUGGUAGUCCACGCCGUAAACGAUGUCGACUAGCCGUUGGGAUCCUUGAGAUCUUAGUGGCGCAGCUAACGCGAUAAGUC